rnacentral:rRNA from 1 species
ACGGGAGGCAGCAGUGGGGAAUAUUGCACAAUGGGCGAAAGCCUGAUGCAGCGACGCUGCGUGAGCGAAGAAGUAUUUCGGUAUGUAAAGCUCUAUCAGCAGGGAAGAAAAUGACGGUACCUGACUAAGAAGCCCCGGCUAACUACGUGCCAGCAGCCGCGGUAAUACGUAGGGGGCAAGCGUUAUCCGGAUUUACUGGGUGUAAAGGGAGCGUAGACGGCAUGGCAAGUCUGAUGUGAAGGCCCGGGGCUCAACCCCGGGACUGCAUUGGAAACUGUCAAGCUAGAGUGCAGGAGAGGUAAGUGGAAUUCCUAGUGUAGCGGUGAAAUGCGUAGAUAUUAGGAGGAACACCAGUGGCGAAGGCGGCUUACUGGACUGUAACUGACGUUGAGGCUCGAAAGCGUGGGGAUCAAACAGGAUUAGAUACCCUGGUA